AACUUUGAAAUACACAUAAACAAAUGCAAAUAUGUGUCAUACCUUUAGUGAGAACUUAUGUUCCAUAGCGCAAAUGUUCCUUAAUAUUGUUCCAAAAAUUAUUUGUCUUCCAACAUCAUAAUGAUUUCGUUGACCCUCAAAUCCGCAUUAAUUCAUAUUGUUCAACCUCCACAUCUAAUAUCUCCCAACAACUCAUUGAAAUCUCUUUUUGACUUUCUAUAAACUUACAUAAUAGUCAAACAUUGCAUUAACAACCCCAUUCCAAAAGUCUAACCCUCCAUUAAAUCAACGGGAAAAAUGUCAAUUAAUCCCCUAACUUUUAAAAAAUGGCCAUUUUAUACAUCAAUUUCGUAUGCGGCCGUUUAAAACAUGAACUAAAAGUUGACUAACUUUUAAAACAUGAUUAUUCGUUGACCAGGCCAAAAAAGACAUGCCAUUAUCAGUCAUUAACGGAACUUCUAACGUCCGUUAUCAUCCGUUAACAACUUUAUUAGUCAAGUUAUAAAUUGUGGUCAUUUUAAACAUCGACUUUAUAUGUGGCCAUUUUAAACAUGAACUAAGCGUUGAUUACCAUUUAAAACAUGAGAAAUUCGUUGACCAAGCCAAAAUAAACAUGUUGUCAUCAUUCAUUAAAAGAACUUAUAACAUUCAUUAUCACUUGUUAACGACUCUAUUAGUAUCCCUAAAACGACUUUGUUUUGAGAGUAAUCAAAAGAAAAUCAGGAUUGUUUUCUAAAUGAAACCCUACUUCCCCAAAUCUAUUUUUACAACCGCUCAAACAAGACGAACAAUCUUAUAAUGAGUCUUCAAUUUGCUUCCAUGAUUCCUUUUAAAAUUUAAAACAAAUAUAUAAACGAAAACACCUUUAUUUGCUUCCAAUUACUGGCACUGCGAUUAUCUCUUUAUCAAACUAUGUUCUUGGGUUCUGCUUAAAACUUUUUGAUAUGGAGAUUUCAUAUGGAAAAAAUCUUUAUGUUCUUUCGAUUAUUCUUGAACGACGUUAUUUUGGACAGAUUAACAGUCAUUAACGGGUUUCUAGGUUCUACUGAUAAAGACAUGUCUAUUUUGGCCUGGUCAACGAAUUUUUCAUGUUUUAAAUGGUAUUCAACGUUUAAUUCAUGUUUUAAAUAGCCACAUAAGAAGUUGAUGUUUAAAAUGGCCACAAUUUGAAACUUGACUAAUAAAGUUAACGAAUGAUAACGGACGUUAGAAGUUCCGUUAAUGACUGAUAACGGCAUGUCUAUUUUGGCCUGGUCAACGAAAGAUCAUGUUUUAAAAAUUAGUCAACGUUUAGUUCAUGUUUUAAACGGCCACAUAUGAAAUUGAUGUAUAAAAUGGCCAUUUUUUGAAAGUUGGGGGAUUAAAUGACAUUUUUCCCCUAAAUCAACCAUCACAAAUCAUAACUAGAUCAAACAGAGUAAUGGUAACUUUACGAACCAUAUCAUUAAAUACA
rnacentral:sRNA from 1 species